rnacentral:rRNA from 1 species
AAGUCUGACGACCAUAGCGUCUUGGUACCACCCCUUCCCAUCCCGAACAGGACCGUGAAACAAGACCGCGCCGAUGAUAGUGAGCCCGCGCUCGUGAAAGUAGGUCAUCGUCAGACUA